rnacentral:rRNA from 1 species
AGAGUUUGAUCAUGGCUCAGGACGAACGCUGGCGGCGUGCUUAACACAUGCAAGUCGAACGAUGAACCACUUCGGUGGGGAUUAGUGGCGAACGGGUGAGUAACACGUGGGCAAUCUGCCCUUCACUCUGGGACAAGCCCUGGAAACGGGGUCUAAUACCGGAUACGACACUCUCGGGCAUCCGAUGAGUGUGGAAAGCUCCGGCGGUGAAGGAUGAGCCCGCGGCCUAUCAGCUUGUUGGUGAGGUAACGGCUCACCAAGGCGACGACGGGUAGCCGGCCUGAGAGGGCGACCGGCCACACUGGGACUGAGACACGGCCCAGACUCCUACGGGAGGCAGCAGUGGGGAAUAUUGCACAAUGGGCGAAAGCCUGUUGCAGCGACGCCGCGUGAGGGAUGACGGCCUUCGGGUUGUAAACCUCUUUCAGCAGGGAAGAAGCGAAAGUGACGGUACCUGCAGAAGAAGCGCCGGCUAACUACGUGCCAGCAGCCGCGGUAAUACGUAGGGCGCGAGCGUUGUCCGGAAUUAUUGGGCGUAAAGAGCUCGUAGGCGGUCUGUCGCGUCGGAUGUGAAAGCCCGGGGCUUAACCCCGGGUCUGCAUUCGAUACGGGCAGACUAGAGUGUGGUAGGGGAGAUCGGAAUUCCUGGUGUAGCGGUGAAAUGCGCAGAUAUCAGGAGGAACACCGGUGGC